GCCAGGCAUGGUGGUGCAUGCCUGUAAUCCCAACAGCUCUGGCGGCUGAGGCAGGAGGAUUGCAAGUUCAAAGCCAGCCUCAGCAAUUUAGUGAAGCUCUAAGCAACUCGGCGAGACCCUGUUUCUA
rnacentral:sRNA from 1 species